AAGUCGUAACAAGGUUUCCGUAGGUGAACCUGCGGAAGGAUCAUUAUCGAGUGAAGGGUCCUAACCGGCCCGACCUCCAACCCUUUGUCGUUAAACAAACCUUUGUUGCUUUGGCGGGACCGUCGGCCUCACGGCCGGCCGCUGGUCCUCUCGGCCCGGCGAGCGCCCGCCAGAGUCCAACCCAAAACUCUCUGCACCAACAUUACGUCUGAGUAAAUUGAUAAAUCAAUCAAAACUUUCAACAACGGAUCUCUUGGUUCUG
rnacentral:misc_RNA from 1 species